rnacentral:rRNA from 1 species
UACGUAGGGUGCAAGCGUUAAUCGGAAUUACUGGGCGUAAAGCGUGCGCAGGCGGUGAUGUAAGACAGGUGUGAAAUCCCCGGGCUUAACCUGGGAACUGCAUUUGUGACUGCAAGGCUUGAGUGCGGCAGAGGAGACUGGAAUUCCCGGUGUAGCAGUGAAAUGCGUAGAUAUCGGGAGGAAUACCGAUGGCGAAGGCAGGUCUCUGGGCUGACACUGACGCUCAUGCACGAAAGCGUGGGGAGGAAACAGG